UACGGAAGGCAGCAGUGGGGAAUAUUGCACAAUGGGCGCAAGCCUGAUGCAGCCAUGCCGCGUGUAUGAAGAAGGCCUUCGGGUUGUAAAGUACUUUCAGUCGUGAGGAAGGUGUUAAGGUUAAUAACCUUAGCAAUUGACGUUAGCGACAGAAGAAGCACCGGCUAACUCCGUGCCAGCAGCCGCGGUAAUACGGAGGGUGCGAGCGUUAAUCGGAAUUACUGGGCGUAAAGGGCACGCAGGCGGUUAAUUAAGUUGGAUGUGAAAUCCCCGGGCUUAACCUGGGAAUGGCAUUCAAGACUGGUUAGCUAGAGUCUUGUAGAGGGGGUUAGAAUUCCAUGUGUAGCGGUGAAAUGCGUAGAGAUGUGGAGGAAUACCGGUGGCGAAGGCGGCCCCUGGACAAAGACUGACGCUCAUGCGCGAAAGCGUGGGGAGCAAAC
rnacentral:rRNA from 1 species